rnacentral:lncRNA from 1 species
AUUAGAUUGAUGAUAUUUGACAUUGAAAUAAACUGAGAAUCCGAAAAACAGUUUCAAUGAAACGAACAAACUCUUUGCAUUCCUUGAAGGUAAAAACAAUGAAAACACUGGUAUUGCUACUUUUAAAAGUGAGGGUUUACGCUAUAGAUACAAGACACUUAAAAAGCAAAUAUCCUACUCGAACAAUUUAAAUCAGCAUUUAUACACCAACAAAGUUCAUCAACAGAUCCAACGUGGGACUACAAAGAUAUCAUCAGAGAAGGCAUAUAAUUAAUUAAAAAAUAUAAAUCAUAAGAAAGCAACAUGUCCAGAUACCAUGACUGGAAUAGUACUAACAGAAAACGUUACGACAUAGAUGUAUGAAGAUGUGGUAUGAGUGCCAAUGAGACAAAUCUCCAUCAAAGUCAUAAUUUGUAAAAGUAAACCAUUAUAGGUCAAAGUAUGGUCUUCAAAACGAAACCUUGGCUCAAAACGAACUGCAAGCUAUAGACGGCCCCAAAAAUGACUAGUGUAAAACCAUUCGAACGGGAUUUAAGACCUGCUCACUUUAUUUUUUACGAAAUCAAUAGAAACAGAAAAAGAACCUCCUGUAUGAUUGGAAUCACGCAACCAUGGCAACGAAACGCCUGUUUUUUAAAAAGGAGACAAGCAUCAUCCUGAGAACUAUAGACCAAUCUCAUUAACAUGUAUUUCCUGCAAUUACUAGAACAGAUACUUGCAAGCAACAUGACGCAACACCGUGAAUCAAAAACAUACUUUACGACUUAAAAAACGGACAAACAGAUCUUGCAAAUCCCAUGUAUUUUCAUUUAUUCGCCAGCUAUAAUUAAAUAACGAUAAAAAAUACAAACC